UACGUAGGGUGCAAGCGUUGUCCGGAAUUAUUGGGCGUAAAGAGCUCGUAGGCGGUGUGUCGCGUCGGCCGUGAAAACCUGCAGCUUAACUGUGGGCGUGCGGUCGAUACGGGCAUCACUGGAGUUCGGCAGGGGAGACUGGAAUUCCUGGUGUAGCGGUGAAAUGCGCAGAUAUCAGGAGGAACACCGGUGGCGAAGGCGGGUCUCUGGGCCGAUAACUGACG
rnacentral:rRNA from 1 species